UGUUCUCUGGCUUACUUGAUUAAAGCGCCGGUCUAGCGAAUAGAGCGUGGGUUCGAAUCCCACCAGAGCAA
rnacentral:tRNA from 1 species